AUCUCUGCGGCGCAAUAGGUCAGUGCAUCUGGCUGUUGACCAGAAGGUUGGCAGUUCAGGCCCCCCCCCAGGGACA